CCUACGGGGUGCAGCAGUGAGGAAUAUUGGUCAAUGGACGAGAGUCUGAACCAGCCAAGUAGCGUGAAGGAUGACUGCCCUAUGGGUUGUAAACUUCUUUUAUAAAGGAAUAAAAUGAGUCACGUGUGCCUUUUUGCAUGUACUUUAUGAAUAAGGAUCGGCUAAUUCCGUGCCAGCAGCCGCGGUAAUACGGAGGAUCCGAGCGUUAUCCGGAUUUAUUGGGUUUAAAGGGAGCGUAGAUGGGUUGUUAAGUCAGUUGUGAAAGUUUGCGGCUCAACCGUAAAAUUGCGAUUGAUACUGGCAGUCUUGAGUACAGUUGAGGUAGGCGGAAUUCGUGGUGUAGCGGUGAAAUGCUUAGAUAUCACGAAGAACUCCGAUUGCGAAGGCAACUUACUAAACUGCCACUGACAUUGAUGCUCGAAAGUGUGGGUAUCGAACAGGAUUAGAUACCCCAGUAGUC
rnacentral:rRNA from 1 species